UGGGGAAUAUUGCGCAAUGGGCGGAAGCCUGACGCAGCGACGCCGCGUGGGGGAUGACGGCCUUCGGGUUGUAAACCUCUUUCGACCGGGACGAAGAGAAAUUGACGGUACCGGUAUAAGAAGCACCGGCCAACUACGUGCCAGCAGCCGCGGUAAUACGUAGGGUGCGAGCGUUGUCCGGAAUUAUUGGGCGUAAAGAGCUCGUAGGCGGUGUGUCACGUCGAUCGUGAAAACUUACAGCUUAACUGUGAGCGUGCGGUCGAUACGGGCAUCACUGGAGUUCGGCAGGGGAGACUGGAAUUCCUGGUGUAGCGGUGAAAUGCGCAGAUAUCAGGAGGAACACCGGUGGCGAAGGCGGGUCUCUGGGCCGAUACUGACGCUGAGGAGCGAAAGCGUGGGG
rnacentral:rRNA from 1 species